AAUAUAACUAACUAACUAACUUCCUUCCUUCCUUCCUUCCUUCCUCCCUCCCUCCCUCCCUGCCUUCCCUUCCUUCCUGCCUUCCUUCUUCCUUCCUCCCUUUUUUCUUUUCUCCCUUCCUUCCUUCUUAAUAUGUUUUUGGCCUUUUCUUUAUAUAUGUGGCCUAGCAAUAUCCUGUGUUUGGAAAAGUAUAAACCUAAGGCAUCACCUUUACAGAAAAUAUCUUCCACGGAAACAUCUAAAGGCAAAAAUCCUUCAAAUUCAAAUUUAUCCAAUCAUUUCUUCUGCUUACUACCAUCCUAAAUCAUUUUUCUUUAGUAAGAUCUAUUAGUGGGAAGCUAUUAAGCUAUUAAUGUAUCAUAUUAAUUGUAUUCAGAUAUUAAGUGAGGAGGUAAAGUUGCAUUCACAGGCCUUGAACUUUUCCACAUCUCGAUUUUUACCCAUCAUCUCUGAAUAGUUCCCUAAGGCAGCCUUCAAAUGGUGAUGUUUCUUAUAAUCCAGAGUUCAGAAGUGGCUUCUCUUCAAUCUUUCUGUGGAAUUCUAAACCAUGUGAUAAAGGAGCUGGUGGGGUGUCCAAUCUUUUGCCUUCCCUGGACCAACUGGAAGAAUUGUCUUCGACCACACAUAAAAUACACUAACACUAACAAUAGCUGAUGAGCUUUAAAAAAAAAUCACAAAACAAAAUCUCAUAGUGUUUUAAGAAAGUUUACAAAUUUGUGUUGGACCACAUUCAAAGCUGUCCUGGGUGGCAUGAGAACCAUGGGCUGAGGAUUGGACAAGCUUGCUCUACAAUAUUCAAAGGCCACAGAUCAGCCCUGGGGUUCAGAGGGAUCCUGACGGCUACUCCUCAAGAUCCUCUCUGUUGUGAUUCAUCCCCCCCGGGCCCUACAGUUUCUCCUUCCUGACUCUUACAUUUCUUUGGAUGGCAUCAUUAUUUACCUGUCUCCUCCCAUAGUUAGGUGCCAAGCACUGUGGAUUCUGCCCCUCAGUGUCCAGACACCCAUUU
rnacentral:antisense_RNA from 1 species